UAAAUGACUCUCGGCAACGGAUAUCUCGGCUCACGCAUCGAUGAAGAACGUAGCAAAAUGCGAUACUUGGUGUGAAUUGCAGAAUCCCGUGAACCAUCGAGUUUUUGAACGCAAGUUGCGCCCGAAGCCAUUUGGUUGAGGGCACGUCUGCCUGGGCGUCACGC
rnacentral:rRNA from 1 species